rnacentral:snRNA from 1 species
UUUUAUAAGCUUAAUAAUUGGUAAGUGAAAAAAAAACUGAGCAAAACUGGUAGCAGUAGCAUGCGUGGCCCCUGCGCAAGGAUGACACGCAAAAUCUUGAAGCGUUCCACAUUUUU